rnacentral:rRNA from 1 species
UACGUAGGGUGCGAGCGUUAAUCGGAAUUACUGGGCGUAAAGGGUGCGCAGGUGGUUACGUAAGUCUGAUGUGAAAGCCCCGGGCUCAACCUGGGAACUGCAUUGGAGACUGCGUGGCUAGAGUGUGGCAGAGGGGGGUGGAAUUCCGCGUGUAGCAGUGAAAUGCGUAGAGAUGCGGAGGAACACCAAUGGCGAAGGCAGCCCCCUGGGAUGACACUGACGCUCAUGCACGAAAGCGUGGGGAGCAAACAGG